rnacentral:rRNA from 1 species
CCUACGGGUGGCAGCAGUGAGGAAUAUUGGUCAAUGGACGCAAGUCUGAACCAGCCAUGCCGCGUGCAGGAAGACGGCUCUAUGAGUUGUAAACUGCUUUUGUACGAGGGUAAACGCAGAUACGCGUAUCUGUCUGAAAGUAUCGUACGAAUAAGGAUCGGCUAACUCCGUGCCAGCCGCCGCGGUAAUACGGAGGAUUCAAGCGUUAUCCGGAUUUAUUGGGUUUAAAGGGUGCGUAGGCGGUCGGAUAAGUUAGAGGUGAAAUCCCGGGGCUCAACUUCGGAAUUGCCUCUGAUACUGGUCGGCUAGAGAGUAGGUGCGGGAGGCGGAAUGUAUGGUGUAGCGGUGAAAUGCUUAGAGAUCGUACAGAACACCGAUUGCGAAGGCAGCUUACCGGGCUACUUCUGACGUUGAGGCACGAAAGCGUGGGGAGCAAACAGGAUUAGAUACCCCAGUAGUC